UACGUAGGGGGCAAGCGUUGUCCGGAUUCAUUGGGCGUAAAGAGCGUGUAGGCGGCCAGGUAGGUCGGUUGUGAAAACUGGAGGCUCAACCUUCAGAGGUCGACCGAAACCAUCUGGCUAGAGUCCGGGAGAGGAGAGUGGAAUUCCUGGUGUAGCGGUGAAAUGCGCAGAUAUCGGGAAGAACACCCGUGGCGAAGGCGGUUCUCUGGGACGGUACUGACGCUGAGACGCGAAAGCCAGGGGAGCAAACGGG
rnacentral:rRNA from 1 species